rnacentral:ncRNA from 1 species
UUAUAUUGUAAAGACUUAUGUCAGAUGUAAACGUAAAAGGAAUGGGGAAAAGCCCCGCGUUGCCGGCGCUGUGUGCGAGAGGACACACCGAAGCAUCUAAAAGAUGUGAGCUGAAAGGCUUCCACUGUGAUUAGCUAAUCAUGGGAAGGUAGGAUGUGUACGUAAGAGAUUAAUAAUCUCUAUAUUGCAAGUCAGAACACAUACAUUAUCCAGGGAGUACUU